UACGUAGGGGGCAAGCGUUGUCCGGAAUCAUUGGGCGUAAAGCGCGUGUAGGCGGUUCGGUAAGUCUGCUGUGAAAGUCCAGGGCUCAACCCUGGGAUGCCGGUGGAUACUGUCGGGCUAGAGUACGGAAGAGGCGAGUGGAAUUCCCGGUGUAGCGGUGAAAUGCGCAGAUAUCAGGAGGAACACCAACGGCGAAGGCAGCUCGCUGGGACGGUACUGACGCUAAGGCGCGAAAGCGUGGGGAGCGAACAGG
rnacentral:rRNA from 1 species